GCCUCGGUGGUGCAGUGAUAGCACACUCCCUUAGUGUGGGUGGAGUACGGGUUCAACUCCCUUGUGGGGUC